rnacentral:rRNA from 1 species
GACGAACGCUGGCGGCGUGCCUAAUACAUGCAAGUUGAGCGCUGAAGGUUGGUACUUGUACCAACUGGAUGAGCAGCGAACGGGUGAGUAACGCGUGGGGAAUCUGCCUUUGAGCGGGGGACAACAUUUGGAAACGAAUGCUAAUACCGCAUAAAAACUUUAAACACAAGUUUUAAGUUUGAAAGAUGCAAUUGCAUCACUCAAAGAUGAUCCCGCGUUGUAUUAGCUAGUUGGUGAGGUAAAGGCUCACCAAGGCGAUGAUACAUAGCCGACCUGAGAGGGUGAUCGGCCACAUUGGGACUGAGACACGGCCCAAACUCCUACGGGAGGCAGCAGUAGGGAAUCUUCGGCAAUGGACGAAAGUCUGACCGAGCAACGCCGCGUGAGUGAAGAAGGUUGUCGGAUCGUAAAACUCGGUUGGUAGAGAAGAACGUUGGUGAGAGUGGAAAGCUCAUCAAGUGACGGUAACUACCCAGAAGGGGACGGCUAACUACGUG